rnacentral:rRNA from 1 species
GAGGAACUUUCAUGCCAUUUAUUUGGUGUGGUUGGAAAUCAGGACUGUUACUUUGAAAAAAUUAGAGCGUUUAAAGCAGGCUAACGUCUGAAUACAUUAGCAUGGAAUAAUGAGAUAGGACGGAUUGAUUCUAUUUCGUUGGUUUCUAGGGUCACCGUAAUGGUUAAUAGGGAUAGUUGGGGGCAUUAGUAUUCAAUUGUCAGAGGUGAAAUUCUUGGAUUUAUUGAAGACUAACUACUGCGAAAGCAUUUGCCAAGGAUGUUUUCAUUAAUCAAGAACGAAAGUUAGGGGAUCGAAGACGAUCAGAUACCGUCGUAGUCUUAACCAUAAACUAUGCCGACUAGGGAUCGGAUGAUGUUAAUUUUUUAAUGACUCAUUCGGCGCCUUACG